GCACUGUUGAAGAGUCCCAUACUAGGACGAAACGUUUGUCCAGUGC
rnacentral:hammerhead_ribozyme from 1 species